UGAGGAACUCCCACUUGGCCUGUUUCCCCUUAAGGGCCAUGCGAGCUGAUUGGCCGCUGGUCACGGUGGUCCCCUGAUGAAGCCGAUCAGCAGCCCACUUUGAUGUCACCCGCAAAGGUCGGCCCGAGUGAAGUCGAGAGCGCUCGCUGAUCAAUGAAACACGACGCCUGCUUUGAGCCAACGUCAUCGGUGGCAGGCUCGGGAGAAAUCUGACCUUUUGCCUCACGCGCCCCAAGUUCAUGAGUAUUAAAGGCAUCCAAAGUGAAAGACGCCUGGAUGAGUCUGGAAGUGGCUUCAUCUCCGCUUCUUCCUCUGAGCCCCUCGUGGUGCUCGUAUCAGGUGGAACGCUCGCUGCAGGACUUCCAGCGUCGCUCGAGUCCCCCGAUGGAGCAUAGGCUUCGGCGACAUCUUGCAGCAAUCAGCCGAAUCGGCGAAAGGUCGCGGCGGAGGGCCGAGCGGCGGGAGGUUGCGAAAACAGGCGGCGAGACUAUUAAGGGAAAGGCGAGCUGCAUUCAUCAGUGCUGGCAAUAAUUCCUUCUCAAGAGUUUUGAUCAGGCUUCGUUUGUGGCCAAGAGAUGUUUACAAACACUGUCAGGGGCCCCGGCACGCCACCCUGGGGUGCUCCGUUGCACUCGCCCCACCAUCUUUGUCGGUGUCCGCACUAUUCAUUUGGUAUAUUUUUUGAUUUUUGCGACAACAAAAUAGGUUUAGGCCAAUGAAUUAGGAAAAUGAUGCCAUGUGGAGACAUUUUAAUUUUCAACAGUGUGGACAGGAGAGUCUUUUUAAAAAAGUGAUUUAAUGAUAUAUUACUAUUGUGUGCAUUGUUGUCCCCAUUAAUAUUAUCGUUAGCUGUGUUUGAUCACUAAACUUGUUUCAAAAUGUGCUCUACUACUCUAAGCUUGAAAUGAUUUCCAAGUACGACUUUCUUCUUGCCUUUGAUUGGCUAAAAUUGAUAGUUUUGUUCGUCACAAGACAACCUGCUCUUUUGUUUUUUUGCUUGUGUUCGAGUUUGAAUUCCGUUGGUAAGGAAGGAUUACCAAGUUUUGUAUAAUGAAAUGAAACUUUUGGAUUUAUCUUAGAUUUUUUAUUUUUCAUGUUUGCAAUGCUGUGUGGACACGGCAUUGUUUUUCUCGCUCAGGAUUUAAUUAAUUUAUUUACGCUCAUUCUGUCAUCUGUGCCUCUGCGUGGCUAAGUCACUUUAACGCAAAAAUGAAACACAAAAAGCUCCUCUUGUAAAAACGCUCAAACAAUGAACUAGUUCAAGUGGUUGGAAAGCAACAAAUUUGCCACAGCAAUGUAGGAACACAAUUGUUUUUAAACUGGCUUGAUCAGGGUUUUUUUUUAUAACACCGCAAAUUUUAUUCAGAAAUAGUUUUAUCUGUCCCUAAAUGUAUUUUCAACAAGGAGUUCAAAAAAGGUUUUUGAGAUAUUUUUCUUAUUUCUUCAAGUUUGU